UAGCAUUUUCGUUUGUUUGUAGCAAAUAUUGUCCAAUUAUAAACUAACUAGACUCAAAAGAUUUGUUUUGUAAAUUACAGACAAACUAUGCAAUUAGUUUUUGUUUUUUUUUCUAUAUUUAGUGCUUCAUGCAUGUGCCACAAUAUGUAAAUGUGAUAUAAUAUUUGUUCCCUAUUUCUUCCUUCUUCCAGAUCGACGUCUCUCUGCCGUCGUCACCGAAGUCCCCGUCGAGUCUCCGCACCUACCGCCGUCUCUCCGCCGUCUCACCACCUUCAAACUACAGGUAUGUCGAGAUGGAUCUAUUAGUGGUACAAUUAGUGCUAUAAUUAGUGGUACAAUUAGUGGUACAAUUAUGAUAUAUUUAAUUAUUAGCAAAUGAUAUACACUAAACCCUAAACCUAAGCUCUAAGCCCUAAACCCUAAACCCUAAACCCUAACCCCUGAACCCUAACCCCUAAACCCUAAACCCUAACCCCUGAACCCUAACCCCUAAACCCUAAACCCUAACCCUAAGCCCUAAACACAUAUACUCUCUCUCUCACACACUUAUUUGUGACCGGUUCAGAUCAUGCCACUUUUGUUAGCAAAUGAUGUAAACCCUAAGCCGUAAACCCUAAACCUUGAAACCUAAGCCGUAAACCCCAAACCCUUAGCCGUAAACUGUUGCGGAAAACCCUAAGUUGUAAACCCUAGUUUUAUAUAUUGUUUCCUUGUCAGGUAUACACAGUAGUGCUAGUAGUCAUGUGUCACCAAUUUCUUAUAAAUCUAGAAUAUUGCCUCUGCUCAAAUUCAUAUAUAUUUAUUUAUUUUCAUGUAUAUUAUAGUACCAAUUCUUAUUUAUUUUCACGUAAUAUAUAUACGAUGUUCUUUAAUGUAAUUAGUGAUGUUCUAUGGUGUAUUUAGUUUUUUUCACGUAAUAUAUAUUUGAUAUUAUAUAACAUAUUUUAGCGAUGUUCACAUAGUAUACAUAUAAUGUUCUGUGAUGUAUUUAGUGAUGUUCACACAAUAUAUAUGCGAUGUGAUGUUCUAUAAUUUAUUUAGUGAUGUUCUAUGGUGU
rnacentral:lncRNA from 1 species